rnacentral:misc_RNA from 1 species
GGCGAACCGACCGAACGUUAUUCGGAAUUACUGGGCUUAAAGGGUGCGUAGGCGGCCUUGUAAGUCAGAUGUGAAAUCCCACGGCUCAACCGUGGAACUGCGUUUGAAACUACAAGGCUCGAGGGAGAUAGGGGUGAGCGGAACUGAAGGUGGAGCGGUGAAAUGCGUUGAUAUCAUCAGGAACACCGGUGGCGAAGGCGGCUCACUGGGUCUCUUCUGACGCUGAGGCACGAAAGCUAGGGGAGCGAACGGG